CCUACGGAGAGCUGCAGUGGGGAAUAUUGGACAAUGGGCGAAAGCCUGAUCCAGCCAUGCCGCGUGUGUGAAGAAGGCCUUCGGGUUGUAAAGCACUUUCAGUGGGGAAGAAAGCCUUGGGGCUAAUACCCUCGAGGAAGGACAUCACCCACAGAAGAAGCACCGGCUAACUCCGUGCCAGCAGCCGCGGUAAUACGGAGGGUGCGAGCGUUAAUCGGAAUUACUGGGCGUAAAGCGCGCGUAGGCGGUCUGAUAAGCCGGUUGUGAAAGCCCCGGGCUCAACCUGGGAACGGCAUCCGGAACUGUCAGGCUAGAGUGCAGGAGAGGAAGGUAGAAUUCCCGGUGUAGCGGUGAAAUGCGUAGAGAUCGGGAGGAAUACCAGUGGCGAAGGCGGCCUUCUGGACUGACACUGACGCUGAGGUGCGAAAGCGUGGGUAGCAAACAGGAUUAGAUACCCCUGUAGUC
rnacentral:rRNA from 1 species